rnacentral:rRNA from 1 species
UACGUAGGGUGCGAGCGUUGUCCGGAAUUAUUGGGCGUAAAGAGCUCGUAGGCGGCUUGUCACGUCGGGUGUGAAAGCCCGGGGCUUAACCCCGGGUCUGCAUUCGAUACGGGCAGGCUAGAGUGUGGUAGGGGAGAUCGGAAUUCCCGGUGUAGCGGUGGAAUGCGUAGAGAUCGGGAAGAACAUCAGUGGCGAAGGCGGCCUGCUGGGCUGUUGCUGACGCUGAGGCGCGACAGCGUGGGGAGCAAACAGG